rnacentral:rRNA from 2 species
CCUGCCCUUCAGAGGGGGACAACAGUUGGAAACGACUGCUAAUACCGCAUACGAUCCAAUCUCGGCAUCGAGACUGGAUGAAAGGUGGCCUCUAUUUAUAAGCUAUCACUGAAGGAGGGGAUUGCGUCUGAUUAGCUAGUUGGAGGGGUAACGGCCCACCAAGGCGAUGAUCAGUAGCCGGUCUGAGAGGAUGAACGGCCACAUUGGGACUGAGACACGGCCCAG